UACGUAGGGUGCAAGCGUUAAUCGGAAUUACUGGGCGUAAAGCGUGCGCAGGCGGUUUUGUAAGACUGUCGUGAAAUCCCCGGGCUUAACCUGGGAAUGGCGAUGGUGACUGCAAGGCUAGAGUUUGGCAGAGGGGGGUAGAAUUCCACGUGUAGCAGUGAAAUGCGUAGAGAUGUGGAGGAACACCGAUGGCGAAGGCAGCCCCCUGGGUCAAAACUGACGCUGAGGCACGAAAGCGUGGGGAGCAAACAGG
rnacentral:rRNA from 1 species